rfam:Croceitalea dokdonensis DOKDO 023 contig4, whole genome shotgun sequence.
UUAGGUGGCCAUGGCAACGGGGCCCACCCCUCCCCAUUCCGAACAGGGAAGUUAAGCCCGUUAGCGCCGAUGGUACUGCUACACCAAGUGGGAGAGUAGGUCGCCGCCUUCC